UAUAUUUAGUGGCGAACGGGUGAGUAAUGCCUAGGAAUCUGCCCAUUAGCGGGGGAUUACGUGUGGAAACGCACGCUAAUACCGCAUACGCCCUACGGGGGAAAGCAGGGGAUCUUCGGACCUUGCACUAAUGGAUGAGCCUAGGUCGGAUUAGCUAGUUGGUAGGGUAAAGGCCUACCAAGGCUACGAUCUGUAGCGGGUCUGAGAGGAUGAUCCGCCACACUGGAACUGAGACACGGUCCAGACUCCUACGGGAGGCAGCAGUGGGGAAUGUUGGACAAUGGGGGCAACCCUGAUCCAGCCAUGCCGCGUGUGUGAAGAAGGCCUUUUGGUUGUAAAGCACUUUAAGCGAGGAGGAGGGUACUCUGGUUAAUACCUAGAUGUAUCGGACGUUACUCGCAGAAUAAGCACCGGCUAACUCUGUGCCAGCAGCCGCGGUAAUACGAAGGGGGCUAGCGUUGCUCGGAAUUACUGGGCGUAAAGGGAGCGUAGGCGGACAUUUAAGUCAGAGGUGAAAUCCCGGAGCUUAACUUCGGA
rnacentral:rRNA from 1 species